rnacentral:rRNA from 1 species
AUGAAGAGACUUUUGAGGGGCUCGUCGAGCCGAAGCUCUAAGGAAAAACAAAAGGAAGAAGAGGAGAAGCCCAAAUUUAAUUUACCUCGCACCGCGGAGGUCCGGCCGUGUGAAUGGCCUUCCGAUGACUUCUUGAGGAGAGCUGGGAUUCAUGAAGAUUUCUAUUUAUUGAUUGAGAAUGCCGGCCUCACCGACUUCCUCCACGACCAACGUCAUCAGUAUCUCUUACUCGCAAAUACCUUUGUGCAAAACUUCUACUUUUUCCCUAAGAAAUCACCUCCAACAGUAGAGUUUCAUUUAUAUGAUGUUGUUAAAGAGAUGACAUUAGCUGAAUUCUGCGAGGUUUGCAGAAUACCCUUUGAGGGCACCUUAGAUGAACCCCACCGCAACGAAGUAGAAGCUUUUAUUAACACUAUCACGGUGGGAGAAACCAGGAAGGUUUCUGAUGCGAGGAUCACUAGCAUUCAUUAUCUUGUUUUACGCUACUUUGCCAUAUUUGCUAGUCGUUGCUUGAUUGGACGCGGGAACUGUGGGAACCUUAGUGUUCCUGAUAUUAUUAUUUUGCUCCAUGGUUUAUACCGCGAUAACUCUGUUAGUAUGGGUGGAAUUGUUGCUAGACGGUUAAGUCAGAACCGUACUAAGGGCCCCACUUUUGGAGGCAUUUAUGCUUCGCGCCUAGCUGAACAUUUUGAAAUACCUAUUAGGCAUGCGGAGAAAGAAGAAACAGCGCUGCCCCGUGCUUAUUUAGAUUACAAGAGUAUGAUAGCGCAUGAUUUUCUUGUUAAGAGUCGCGAUGGGGAGCUCAAAUACAAAAUAUACUUUGAUAAACAUCACCCUGAGACUAUUACUUUGCCUGCUCCUUCUUUGUUUAACUUGUUUGCGGAACCUCACAUUGUUCUGUGGUCGGCUGUUCAAGCCUAUCGGAACCCUGCACCAGCCCCGGAGCCGGAGCCACAAGAUGAGCCUCCACGACUAUCUGUUUAUUCUUGGGAUCCUGAGGAGGCUGCCAGCCAGUGGCAGUCAGAGUCUUCUUCGUCAUACUACGACCCCAGUUUCACUUACGGGUACCCGCCAGGCCAUCCCUGGUAA